rnacentral:rRNA from 1 species
GGUUCUGGCUCAGAUUGAACGCUGGCGGCAGGCCUAACACAUGCAAGUCGAACGGUAGCACAGAGAGCUUGCUCUCGGGUGACGAGUGGCGGACGGGUGAGUAAUGUCUGGGAAACUGCCUGAUGGAGGGGGAUAACUACUGGAAACGGUAGCUAAUACCGCAUAACGUCUUCGGACCAAAGUGGGGGACCUUCGGGCCUCACACCAUCGGAUGUGCCCAGAUGGGAUUAGCUAGUAGGUGGGGUAAUGGCUCACCUAGGCGACGAUCCCUAGCUGGUCUGAGAGGAUGACCAGCCACACUGGAACUGAGACACGGUCCAGACUCCUACGGGAGGCAGCAGUGGGGAAUAUUGCACAAUGGGCGCAAGCCUGAUGCAGCCAUGCCGCGUGUAUGAAGAAGGCCUUCGGGUUGUAAAGUACUUUCAGCGGGGAGGAAGGCGAUAAGGUUAAUAACCUUGUCGAUUGACGUUACCCGCAGAAGAAGCACCGGCUAACUCCGUGCCAGCAGCCGCGGUAAUACGGAGGGUGCAAGCGUUAAUCGGAAUUACUGGGCGUAAAGCGCACGCAGGCGGUCUGUCAAGUCAGAUGUGAAAUCCCCGGGCUUAACCUGGGAACUGCAUUUGAAACUGGCAGGCUAGAGUCUUGUAGAGGGGGGUAGAAUUCCAGGUGUAGCGGUGAAAUGCGUAGAGAUCUGGAGGAAUACCG